GUGAAUCAUCGAAUCUUUGAACGCACAUUGCACUCCCUGGUCCUCCGGGGAGUAUGCCUGUUCGAGCGUCAUUACACCCCUCAAGCUUUGCUUGGUAUUGGAUCUCAUCGGUCAAACGAUGUUUCCGAAAAAGAGUGGCAGUCUGUAGAACUUCAAGCGUGGUGAAUUUUACGUUCUGGAUAAUACAAACUUGCCAAAACACUUUUACACAUUUGACCUCGAAUCAGGUAGGGAUACCCGCUGAACUUAAGCAUAUCAAUAAGCGGAGGA
rnacentral:misc_RNA from 1 species